GUCCCUGCUUAAGCUUGAAUAAACGACCCUUGUGUGCUUACAUCGAAAACGGCCUCCUGGUGGUCUCUGGGACUUCACAAUCUGGGCACAACAAUUAUUUCUUCUUACGUCCAAUAAAACUCUCCUAACUUCCUCCUCUGGUUGGCCACUUCACUUCUCAAUGUUGUGAGACCACAAACUCAACACAUUUGACACCUAACAGCAAUUUCUGCAGUUUUAUAAAACUCAUGCAAAAAGCAAUAGGCCAAUAUCUGGCUUUCCCAGCAAGUCACCAAGCAGUGCUACUGGAAGCUGCAACCUGGGUGUCUGAUGCUAUCCUGAAGCCACCAUGAUCCAUAAAGCCACCAAGCUGCACUCCAGAGAAAGGUAUAUAAAAAGGAAAGAUAAACAGAGAAGUUGAAAAACCUCAAGUAACAUAAAAGGAAGAGUGAAGUUGAAGUAAAGAAGACAAAUACACUUUUAACUCUGAAAUGUGCUCCUGUUCUUUAACAAUGAAAACUUUCCAUUGAACAGGUUAAUUGGAUAUCCUGCAGUGCUGCUAUGUUGCAGUUCACAAGAAUGACUUCACCUUGAAAAGGAUAUUUCCUAUCAAGGAUGUUUCCUUGAUAUUUUCUAUCUGCCUCCAUCAUGCUUUUCUGUGUAACAUUUCAACAAUAAAUGUUGUCUUUGUUAUAAAACAAAUAAUGAUCAUACAUGUAAGUCACUGGAGGAACCAAUAUAAUUAUAUUUUGUUCUUUCUUUG
rnacentral:lncRNA from 1 species